ACUACAUUCUCUUAUAAAUUUACAUUGCAGUAUCUUCUAGCAAAUAUACUGAAUCACUAUUAUGCCUUGUAUGCAUGUUUUGGUAAAAAAAAUGAGUUGAAGUCUUUAACAAUCCUUUUCAGACCCUCUCUCUGUUACACAUUUGCAUGAAAAAACAAAAGUAAAAGGGAAAAACUUACUUUGGGUUCAUAUGGUGCAGACCAACAACAAAACGAUUGUUAAUGAAAGGUUUAAGUGCCCGUAUACUCAAAACAAGGUCUUUUAUCUAAUUGGUUGGAUAACUUCUUUUCAGGUCUAUGUGGAUUUCCACAAUAACACUACCUCCAACUUUCUCAUUUCCCCACCUCUGCAUACAAGUUCCAAACUAGUCCUGCAGAUCAGUACAGGUCACCGGCUUUAUAUUGUGGUCAGCGUGUUGUAAGUACUUUGGGAAACAAGUUCUGGGGUAAGUUUAUCUGCUUGCUCAUGCAUUUUAAUACUUGAUUGAUGUCCUGAUAAUUUGUGAAGUUCUGUGUACCAUGUGAUAAGCUGCACAUCAGGUUGCAUAGCAGCUUGUUUGUUGCUUUUAGGAUGUGCAUGUACCCAGGUGGAUCAAAUACAGAUACCAAUCAUAUAUUAUUAUUUUUACUCGUGUGUU